AUCCAAAGUGUUCAGUUCAGAGUGGCUUCCUGGUUCUGUUAAUUAAACUUUGGAACAUUGAAACAGGCUAGGAAAAAUGACUACACAGAAAAUAUUACUCUAUUCAUUUAUUUCCCAGCCUAUACAA